UACGUAGGGUGCAAGCGUUGUCCGGAAUUAUUGGGCGUAAAGAGCUCGUAGGCGGUCUGUCACGUCGGAUGUGAAAAUCCAGGGCUCAACCCUGGACCUGCAUUCGAUACGGGCAGGCUCGAGUUCGGUAGGGGAGACUGGAAUUCCUGGUGUAGCGGUGAAAUGCGCAGAUAUCAGGAGGAACACCGGUGGCGAAGGCGGGUCUCUGGGCCGAUACUGACGCUGAGGAGCGAAAGCGUGGGGAGCGAACAGG
rnacentral:rRNA from 1 species